rnacentral:rRNA from 1 species
AUGAACGCUGGCGGCGUGCCUAAUACAUGCAAGUCGAGCGAACAGACGAGGAGCUUGCUCCUCUGACGUUAGCGGCGGACGGGUGAGUAACACGUGGAUAACCUACCUAUAAGACUGGGAUAACUUCGGGAAACCGGAGCUAAUACCGGAUAAUAUAUUGAACCGCAUGGUUCAAUAGUGAAAGACGGUUUUGCUGUCACUUAUAGAUGGAUCCGCGCCGCAUUAGCUAGUUGGUAAGGUAACGGCUUACCAAGGCAACGAUGCGUAGCCGACCUGAGAGGGUGACCGGCCACACUGGAACUGAGACACGGUCCAGACUCCUACGGGGGGAAGCAGUAGGGAAUCUUCCGCAAUGGGCGAAAGCCUGACGGAGCAACGCCGCGUGAGUGAUGAAGGUCUUCGGAUCGUAAAACUCUGUUAUUAGGGAAGAACAAAUGUUUAAGUAACUAUGCACGUCUUGAGGGUACCUAAUCAGAAAGCCACGGCUAACUACGUG